rnacentral:rRNA from 1 species
GUUUCCAGAGGAAGGCUCGUCCGCUCUGGGUUAGUCGGGUCCUAAGCUGAGGCCGACAGGCGUAGGCGAUGGAUAACAGGUUGAUAUUCCUGUACCACCUAUAAUCGUUUUAAUCGAUGGGGGGACGCAGUAGGAUAGGCGAAGCGUGCGAUUGGAUUGCACGUCUAAGCAGUAAGGCUGAGUAUUAGGCAAAUCCGGUACUCGUUAAGGCUGAGCUGUGAUGGGGAGAAGACAUUGUGUCUUCGAGUCGUUGAUUUCACACUGCCGAGAAAAGCCUCUAGAUAGAAAAUAGGUGCCCGUACCGCAAACCGACACAGGUAGUCAAGAUGAGAAUUCUAAGGUGAGCGAGCGAACUCUCGUUAAGGAACUCGGCAAAAUGACCCCGUAACUUCGGGAGAAGGGGUGCUCUUUAGGGUUAACGCCCAGAAGAGCCGCAGUGAAUAGGCCCAAGCGACUGUUUAUCAAAAACACAGGUCUCUGCUAAACCGUAAGGUGAUGUAUAGGGGCUGACGCCUGCCCGGUGCUGGAAGGUUAAGAGGAGUGGUUAGCUUCUGCGAAGCUACGAAUCGAAGCCCCAGUAAACGGCGGCCGUAACUAUAACGGUCCUAAGGUAGCGAAAUUCCUUGUCGGGUAAGUUCCGACCCGCACGAAAGGCGUAACGAUUUGGGCACUGUCUCAACGAGAGACUCGGUGAAAUCAUAGUACCUGUGAAGAUGCAGGUUACCCGCGACAGGACGGAAAGACCCCGUGGAGCUUUACUGUAGCCUGAUAUUGAAAUUCGGCACAGCUUGUACAGGAUAGGUAGGAGCCUUUGAAACGUGAGCGCUAGCUUACGUGGAGGCGCUGGUGGGAUACUACCCUAGCUGUGUUGGCUUUCUAACCCGCACCACUUAUCGUGGUGGGAGACAGUGUCAGGCGGGCAGUUUGACUGGGGCGGUCGCCUCCUAAAAGGUAACGGAGGCGCUCAAAGGUUCCCUCAGAAUGGUUGGAAAUCAUUCAUAGAGUGUAAAGGCAUAAGGGAGCUUGACUGCGAGACCUACAAGUCGAG